UUUUAUGUUACUGUAGUGAUAACUGAUAGACGAUAGUAUGAAUCAAUGGUUAGUGACUGUCGGAUCGUUAUAAGACAUUUUUCAUAAAUAAUUAAGUAAUCUUAAGUUCGUUCACAUCGUACGACCGUUAGACGCUUAGGUGAAUGAUACGCAUUCCCUUGGAGUUGAAUUCUGUGGGGGAUAAUUUAAAUUAAACGGGUUAGGUGUGUCUACAAAUGCCCAAGGAUGUGGAGCAUAUGCACUCCACCUUUGAUACUAGCCGUAGGAAAUGGGAGUAGUUCUCAAAGAUGGACACCUUGACAUAAGUUGCUAAGUUAGGGGGGAUUUCCUAAAAGCUGCAUAACCAGGAUCUUUGAGAACCUGUGGAAGAAACGACCGUGAUCAUGUCUGAUAACACACAUUGUUACAUAUUACAUGAAAUAUUCCUUACUAAAUGAAAUAAAAGUAUCUUCUCU
rnacentral:lncRNA from 1 species